GCCACAGACAGCCGUUGGUAACCCAUUAUCAAGUUAUCGCUAAACCAGUGACGAUAUACACAGCUAAAAUACUUUGCUUUAAUGGACCUGUUCUUCACUUGCAAGAGGCUUUCCGUGUGUGAGAUAUUGUUGACGAGCGCACCAUCAUUACCUACACUGAAUUCCACCUUCGUGAAGCAUUGGAUUGAUCUAGAAAUCUCAGACUCAGUUUGUUCCUGUAAGACGCCUACAUCCAUGGGUGGAGUUUCAAAGAAGACUGGCAGAUGUUGGAAUUGGACAGUGAGAUAUUUUAAUGAGCCUCAUUUGUGACUUUAAUGCAGUUGCCAGAAGCCAUGAUAAUACAUUUCCACUUACAGUGUGGGACCAGCAAGUAGAAUUAAAACAUCCGAGGUUUCUGAGUACCCCCUGUGAAUAAAAUAAAAGUGGCUACUUGAGGCAA